CAAGAAGGGAAUCAUCAGAAUCUUCAGCUCUUGUUAUACGAUGGCGUUUGUGAACUCGUGAUCCACCCUUUCUUACAUCCCUAUUAACCCUAGUCCCUAUUCCUUGAUGCAAUACCCUUCGCGGAGAUCGUGGUCUUUGCUUACCUUCUUCCAUAGAAAGCCUACGGACAUCAGCACGAUUUCGGAGAUCAUAUCUCCUCCUUCCCUCCUGUUCUUCCUCUUCACCUUCUUCAUCAUCACCAUCUUCCUCUCCUUCAUCUUCACCCUCUCCAUCACCCUCAUCCUCAGCCUCAUCAUCAUUCUGACCAUCAUCUGCAUC
rnacentral:misc_RNA from 1 species